rnacentral:rRNA from 1 species
GAUGAACGCUGGCGGCGUGCCUAAUACAUGCAAGUCGAGCGAAUGGAUUAAGAGCUUGCUCUUAUGAAGUUAGCGGCGGACGGGUGAGUAACACGUGGGUAACCUGCCCAUAAGACUGGGAUAACUCCGGGAAACCGGGGCUAAUACCGGAUAAUAUUUUGAACUGCAUGGUUCAAAAUUGAAAGGCGGAUUCGGUUGUCACUUAUGGAUGGACACGCGUCGCAUUAGCUAGUUGGUGGGGUAACGGCUCACCAAGGCAACGAUGCGUAGCCGACCUGAGAGGGUGAUCGGCCACACUGGGACUGAGACACGGCCCAGACUCCUACGGGAGGCAGCAGUAGGGAAUCUUCCGCAAUGGACGAAAGUCUGACGGAGCAACGCCGCGUGAGUGAUGAAGGCUUUCGGGUCGUAAAACUCUGUUGUUAGGGAAGAACAAGUGCUAGUUGAAUAAGCUGGCACCUUGACGGUACCUAACCAGAAAGCCACGGCUAACUACGUGCCAGCAGCCGCGGUAA